CCUACGGGAGGCAGCAGUGAGGAAUAUUGGUCAAUGGACGGAAGUCUGAACCAGCCAAGUAGCGUGCAGGAUGACGGCCCUAUGGGUUGUAAACUGCUUUUGUAUGGGGGUAAAACCCUCCACGUGUGGCGGUUUGUAGGUACCGUACGAAUAAGGAUCGGCUAACUCCGUGCCAGCAGCCGCGGUAAUACGGAGGAUCCGAGCGUUAUCCGGAUUUAUUGGGUUUAAAGGGAGCGUAGGCGGAUUGUUAAGUCAGUGGUGAAAUUUUGCGGCUCAACCCGGAAACUGCAGGUGAAACUGUUCGCCUUGAGUACAGUAGAGGUAGGCGGAAUGUGUGGUGUAGCGGUGAAAUGCUUAGAGAUCAUGAAGAACCCCGAUUGCGAAGGCAGCUUACCGAACUGCAACUGACACUGAGGCUCGAAAGUGUGGGUAGCAAACAGGAUUAGAUACCCUGGUAGUC
rnacentral:rRNA from 1 species